CUGCCAUCUAUUCCUAUCCUACUUUAUUGACCAAAGCGUCUGAAAUUUUCAGACUUGCCUUCCUCUCUCAUGGCUUCCCCCACACCCUUUUUUCUUUUUUGCUUCAAAGCGUGGAUCAUCUUUCAAAAAAGCAACAUUGACUUCACCAUUUUAAGAAAAGAAAUCAAAACCAUCUCAGAGGACGAUUCUCUGUCUUGCCUCCAACGUUCGGAUUCAAGCGACCAUUUUUAUCAAGAUUCAAGUCCGAUUUUGAAUUCCCUCAAAAAAGACCCAAACCCUACUUCUUCACCUAUAAAUACUAGUAUUUGGAAUAUAUUGGGGCAGAGCUUUUGGAGCCGUUGCACCUCUUUUUAAACCCACAAGCUUCAGCCCCCUUCUUUAACCUUAAGCUCUUAGCUGCCCCUUUGACCCCAAAAUUUGAGGCUGGAGCCGCCCCAAAGCUCCGAUUUUUAGCCGCCAUUGCUAACUCCUACAAAUCUACUGGUGUUACUCGAUUUAUCCCUAAAAUAAACACUCUUAAAAGGCUCAGCUCUCUCUCUCUCUCUCUCUCUCUCUCUCUCUCUCUCUUUUAAUCUCUUUCUCUGUCGGCGUUUACCUAUAAUAGUGGCGUUUGUUUCUGUUCGUUCUGGUAUUUGACGACUACCCGUGUACAGCAAGUUCGAGGUUAGAAUCCGAUAGCGGCUUACCCUAGUUCACUGCCCGCAAAAAGAGUCUCACUCGAGACUCAACACUACCCGAGCAUGGAGUCAUCACAUGGCAUCCCCUUAGAAUGUCCCGGAUAGCAAGAAAACAAGCGAAACGCUUGGGGACGCCUAUGGCGUCUUUCAUUUUUCUUUUCCUCUUAUCAUUUGUUUAAUUUUUUUAUGAUUGUAGAUUUAUUUGGGAAUGUUUUAUAUUAGAUUUGGUAGCUAAAUCUUAUUUUGAUUAGUGUCAUUUACUCUAGUUAAUAAUAAAUCGCCGAUUUUAUUUA